rnacentral:rRNA from 1 species
CCUACGGGGGGCUGCAGUGGGGAAUAUUGGGCAAUGGGCGCAAGCCUGACCCAGCGACGCCGCGUGAGGGAAGAAGGCCUUUGGGUCGUAAACCUCUGUUGUAUGGGAAGAAGGAAGUGACGGUACCAUACGAGGAAGUCCCGGCUAACUACGUGCCAGCAGCCGCGGUAAUACGUAGGGGACGAGCGUUGUCCGGAAUUACUGGGCGUAAAGGGCGCGCAGGCGGAUAUUUAAGUCAGCUGUAAAAGGCAUGAGCUCAACUCAUGUAUGCGGUUGAAACUGGGUAUCUAGAGUGCUGGAGAGGUAGGCGGAAUUCCCGGUGUAGCGGUGAAAUGCGUAGAUAUCGGGAAGAACACCAGUGGCGAAGGCGGCUUACUGGCCAGCAACUGACGCUGAGGCGCGAAAGCCAGGGGAGCGAACGGGAUUAGAUACCCCAGUAGUC